UGCACGGUGGCGCAGUUGGUAGCAGCAAGAAGGUCCUGGGUUCAAUUCCCGGCCAGGGGUCUUUCUGCAU